UGCAGUGCAGCACACAGAACAGCAAGCCGUGGUCUUGUACCUCCCAGGCAUGGCUUGCAACGUUCCUCACAUGAUGCUUAGAGAAAACGCAUGGUCAUAAGAAAUGCAGCUCAAAGUGUGCACACUACCACAGCUCAGGGAAGCAUUCGCUCUGGAUCCUUUAAGCUUUUAUUCCUGGUAAGGCAGCCUGCUCUCUCAGCACGUUGGGUUCUCCAGGAAGGAGGCUCUGAGACGGACAUUAGCAUGGAGGAGGUUUACUAGCAGAAGAUAAGAGGGGAAAGCUGGCUCGGGAAGAGGGAAAGGUCAGGUUGCAAUGUGAUCUCCACUGAAGCUUUAGCUGGCCUCUAGCUCUGAAGAACAGAAGACCUUCCAGUGGUGUUCCGAGUCUGGGAAGAACCGAGGGGAGAGAGGGAAAGAGGAGGGAACCAGAAACUUGGUGGAGUAGGAGGAUCCUGAGUUCACCUCAUCCCAUGCACACACCAAGGCAACAGCUACACCUGUACAACUUACUCUGAAAAUGACCUGAAGACUAGCAGAAAACACCUUCUACAGCUAGUCAUAGAGAGAAUGCCACAUCGAAAAGGGUUAAGAUGAAAACAGAAAAAUCUCCCCUGUGGAAGUGACAUUUAUGUGACUUGAAGGAGGAAAAGGAGAGAGUCAGCAGCCAUCACCAGACAUCUGGCUUUGGAAGCAGUUUUGCUGAAGAGAACACAACCUGUGCCACUGAAUCCAAACAGCAUUCAUUCUUGGUGGUCGCGAGCAUCCUUGCAUCCAGAGAAAGGAAUCACUUUGCUAUUUUUUAUGGUUUAAUUAUAUUAUUGCAUAAAACAUUUUGGCUGUAUAACUUUCUGGACUUCCCUGUUUUACAACCUAUAAUCCCGCUGAAAUGUGAAAUGUACCUAAAAUUAACAAAGACAGUGUCUCAUCCCACAUCUCUGAUUUCAUUUAGGCUUGAAGAAGUAGUCCAACAUCACACAGAGUACAAAGCACGGGAGCAGAGAGACCUAGGUUUGCUCCCAGCUCUGUGCCGCAAAGUCACUCAUUGGUGACCUGAAUUAAGCCACAAUAGUUGUCUUAGUCUUAGACUGUGUUGUUCUUUGAAUGAUGCCAUAGAAUUAGAUCAUCUCCAAGGGCCCUGGUAGCUCUAACACUCUACUGCUGAACUCAGGCUGACAUCUGAGACAGACUCAUGAGACUUAUCUUCAAGUUUUCAUUCCUAUAAUGAUAUGUGGAUGACUAGGGGCUGAAAUAUUGGGAAGAUAUCAUGGAAACUUUCUCAUAUAGACAUCAGAAAAAAUGGUCAACAGAUUUUUGUACCAUUUCUGUUUAAAAUCCUUAUUUCUCUGGAUAAGAAAUAAAGGUUUUGAGAAUAUCUUCAAAAAUAUUAUGGCACUCUCCUUCUCCUCUACCCCUGGAGGUUCCACUGGGUAAGAAAGUUCUGAAAGACACGUGGGAAUUUGGCCAAGCACUCCCUUCUACAGCACUCACAGGAAGGAGGAUCCAAGGAUUUGCUGACAUCCAGCUAGGGGUCCAUUUGGAGCCAUCUACAGAUACUCUAGAGACAUUGUGCUCUUUCAAUGAGGAAAAGCCACACAUAUAAAAAGCCAUACUCACUACCUAUUUCCUGACCCAUUGCAAACCACCACAGUCUCUUCUCAUCAGUCUUUCUUCCAAAACAUAAACUAUACUGUGACAGCCAUAAUGCUUCUAUUUACAUUUCUGAGGCAAUAUUUUUAAGAUCCUUGAAAGCUAGACUGACAACCAUAGCCAGUCUAUGACUUCAUUUUUUAAAAUUAAAGGUUAUAUUGCUGUUGCACAUCUAUUUCUGAGUAGCAAUUCACCCCAAAACUCAGUGCUUGAAGCAACAAUUUAUUAUUUCUCAUGCUUCUGUGGGCUGAGGUUUUUCUGCUAGACUCACCUGGGCCCACCUAUUUUGCUGCAUUCAGCUGGAGAGAGUCUCUGACUUCUUCACUGAUGUCUGGCAGUUGGUCCUGGCUAUUGACUGGGGGACUUUGGUUCUCCUCGGUGAGGUUUCUUAUCUUCUAGUAGGCUAGACUGGUUUCCUUACAUGGUGGUUUGGGGGCAGCACUUCAAGGGAACAAAGUGGAAGCCACAGGCUUCUUAUGGCCUAACCUCAGAAGUUGUACAUUAUUUCUGGUGCAUCCAUUGGUCAAAGCAAGUCACAAUUCCAGAUCAGAGUUAGGAGGUGGGGAAAUAAACCAUCUCUUGCUAGGAGGCACAGCGAAGUCAAAGAGACAUGUAUGUAGGAAUUGCUGCUUUUUUCACCUCCAUCUGCCACAGACAACUUUUAAAAUGAGGCAAACCGUAAGAGACUCUUAAAUACAGAGAACUGAGGGUUGAUGGAGGUGGGGAAAGUGGGUGAUGGAAUUGAGGAGGGCACUUGUUGGGAUGAGCACUGGGUGUUUUAUGUAAGUUGUGAAUCACUGGAUUCUACUCCUGAAACCAAGACUACACUGUAUGUUAUCUAAUGUGAGAAUAAAACAUUAAAAGAAUAAUAAUAAAAUCAUAAAAAAUAAAGUGAUUUUAAAUAGUAAAACAGUACAAUCAUGGAAAAAGCAGAAUGUAUCAAUAAUUACAAGUAAAGAAAUAAAAUCACUCUUAAUCCCUCCA